GCCAAAUUGCCACAACUCGUAAUGUACAGUUGUAAGUAGGCAAAUGCUAUAUUAAUGAACCAUCGUUCACAAAAUAUUAAUACAUAUGGGCCGUCAAGGCCUCUGACAUACUGUACAACAUGAACCUUUGUCUACAAAGCCUCUAAGAUUAUUUGACAUCAAAUGUGAUAGGGUACCGCUGACACAUAAGUAUGUAGUAAAACUCUGACACGAUGACUCAUAAACUCGGCUGCACUCCGAAUGAGCUGGAGUCUUACCGAUCCUUCACUGAAUGUCAAUCUCGUCUACAAUGAGUGAUCGUCAAACUGAUUAUCUAUACCUGCAGGCAUGAAUGCAGCAUCCGCAACAAAAGGACGUUAGUACAAAUAAUGUACUGAGUAUGUAAGGCAGAACUAAAAUAUAACAAAAAGUCAAUAUUAAUUAAUGACAUAUAAGAAUCAACCUGCAUCUGUGAAGCGCCACUGUAUAUUUAUACUUGCAUAUAUAAUGCUUCGCUUUGAGACUAUUAUUCAUAUUCUAUGAUGCAUCACUACCCAACUGAUCAGUGGUAACUGCCCCACCGGCCGUAGCGCGGUGGUAAAUGCAUGACUGCCCGACCGACCGUAGCUCGAUAGUGAAUAUGUAACUGCCCAACCGGCCGUAGCUCGGUGGUAAAUGUGUAACUACCCAACCAGCCGUAGCUCAGUGGGAAAUAAAUGACUGCCUGACCGGUGGUAAAUAAUAAUACAUAACUGCCCAACCGGUGGUAACUGCCCGACCGACCGUAGCGCGAUGGUAAAUGAAUGAACUUGCAUGUACAUCUAUCUCUAUAUUAUAAACAUUAAUAUUUCUAUCAUAUAGCUCAAUAGGAAAUUAGAUACCUACUUAGACAUGCUUGAAUAUCACUUUACGAGAAUAAGUAACACAGACAUUCUUAACUGCUAAGAGUAGAACCACUUAUGAAAUAGCAUUACGUUUACGUUUCGUUACUUGGAUCAUACCAAAAGAAAGAAGGGAUAGCCUUAACAUACCUGAGAUAACUCUCUUGACAAUCCCUCUAAUUCAUAUUAAUUGCGACAAUAAGCAUCCAUUAAUGUGUUGAAGGUGACUAUAGCUGGCUGACAACCUUCCAUACUCGCAAGCCCAAACAUUCCCAUGAAUCAAAAUCCCAAGUUUUUCAUACCCAUUUGACAUAAGAGGAACACUAAUUAAUGAUCACACAAGAGAAGGAAGGAGAGUCACUGUUUCAGAUUAUAUAUGCCAGGCUUAUAGUAUUUUUUAUAGACUUCAAAUUCGGAUUUACCAAACUGUUAGUACAUAUUCAAUAUUUUUCUUUACAUUGAAUUGAUGACUAUGAUAUGUACAAAUUAUUGAGCUCACAAGUAGGAUUCACAAGUUUUAACAUAUGAGCAUCAGUCAUUGAAAAAGAUAGUUGAAGUAUUACUUAGAUUCUUCAACUCACUGCUCACCAAUAUUAUUUACUGAGAAUACAAACACAAUUCAAGUAGCCUAGAUACCUUAAACUUUCAGUGACUAUAAAAUAUUGAUCGUCAACAUGAAUACAGAAAAGGUUCAAUAGUAGAUACUAUUAAUUUAGGAUUCAAACUUUUAUUUGACAUCCUACUAGCCAUUUCACCUUAUCACAUUUUAAAGCACUAUUGUAAACACUUCCGUCAACCUCUAAAAAUUAUUCUGUCUAAAAUAAGCUUGAUAUAAUAAUCUAUAUAUACUCCUCUUAAUUGGAAUUGAGGUAGCAAUUUCUAAAAGCAGACGACAAAAAAUAUAGAUGUGACAACUUUAUUUUACAAGUGAACUAAACAAGACAAAUGAUCCUUACCCCUCUUCGUGUACUUCCCUUGUCACUCCAAAAAUUCAAAUAAGCAUAAUCUUAAAGUAGAUAUGGAAGAAUAUAUAGAAGAACAUGGGAACCUUUGUCAAACCUUGUCAAGGAAUUGUAAAUGAUAUGUACUGACGUUUGCUCAACAUCAACCCCCCUAAAUAUGCCACCUCAUUGAGUGAACUUAGGAGUCACAUUUUACUAAGGCAUUUGCUGCCAAAUCUCUAACAUCCCACGUGGAUGUUACCCCUCAUAAUUAUCCACAAAUUCUUAAUUAAUUUAAUAAUUUUUCACUCCAAUCAAUAAUUAACCAAUUAUUCACAUAAUUAAGAAUUAUCUCAAAUUACUUAUAAUACUACUCACUUUUAAUACACUUUAUAUAACUUACUAUCAAGGUCAAGUGGUACCAUAUAAAAUUAUUUCAUUAAAACAUCCAUGUAAAAAUACAUAUAUUUUCUCAACUUCUAAUUUUUCUAAUCUCAUAUAAAGAGUACAAAUAUUUCGUAUGCUUAAUUUUUAAAAUGGUAAAAAGAGAACCUUCUUUUCUUGUGAAAAAAAUAAUUUAUAUCUUUACAAUAAGGAAAUUCUUUUUUGCACUAUAAAUUCUCAAAACGGAAAAAGGCUAACUUUUCUUAUGAUAAAAUACUAUAUACUCUUAUAAUAAAUAAAACCUCAUUUAUAAACUCCCACAUGUUAUGUAUUUAAUUUAAAACUUAUCACAACCAUAUAAAAUCGUAUCUAUCAGCUUUUACCGAAAAUGGUUUAUUUCAAAUAAAAUACAUAUCAAACCAAUAAAUAGUAGAUUCGAAAUUCUUCAAACUUACAGAGGCUUGCAUCCCUAUCUUCAUGUAUAACCUUAAUCCCUUCCAAUUCCUAUGUUAUUACUUUGACGAAUCCUAACGUUAAAAUACGGGAUGUAACUUCCUUCUCCCAUUUAGAACAUUCGUCUUCGAAUGUUAACUCUUAGAGAUUUGCAAAAUUUUCACUAGGGCCUCCUACGUAAAUUAAACUUAAAACCCAAAUUAUUUCUGAAGUCUCGACUAUUCACAACUUUUUGUACUUGAGUAUCUUGUAUCUUCUUCACCUUUACCGUACUUACUUUUCAAUCGUGCAUUGUCUUUUCUGUUUCUUUCAUAACCUUCCUUUCACAUAGGCAAAAAUUACAUCUACGCCUUAAAGCUCUAUUAUGAUAGCACCUAUAGUGCAUACAAAAUUUAGUGGAAACUUUAUACUGAGUUCUUACGACUCAGAUCUAUGGCAUGAUCUGGAAUAAAAAAAAAGAUAAUAUUUCCUAAAUGCCCUAUAGCCUCUCAAUUAUAAAUGUGGCGUGCAACACACCAUAAGUGAGACUCUAAUAAGCACGGCUUUGUAGACUCCCUAGGACACGACCCGCUCUGAUACCACUUUGUCACGUCCCAACCUUGGAAGGCGUGGCUGGCACCCAAUGUCGUACUGGCCCGAGCGAACCACUCUUUAACUCAUUCAUUCCAUGUGUAACUAUCAUGGGCCAAACUGCCACAACUCGUAAUGUACAAUUGUAAGUGGGCAAAUGUUAUAUUAAUGAACCAUCGUUUAUAAAACAUUAAUACAUAUGGGCCGUCAAGGCAUCUGACAUACUGUACAACAUGAACCUCUGUCUACAAAGCCUCUAAGAUUAUUUGACAUCAAAUGGGACAGGGUACCGCUGACCCAUAAGUAUGUAGUAAAAUUCUGAAACGAUAACUCAUAGACUCGGCUGCACUCCGAAUGAGGUGGAGUCUUACCGAUCCUUCACUGAACGCCAAUCUCGUCUACAAUGAGUGAUUGUCAAACUGAUUAUCUAUACCUGCAGGCAUGAAUGCAGCGUCCCCAACUAAAGGACGUCAGUACGAAUAAUGUACUGAGUAAGUAAGGCAGAACUGGAAUAUAACAAUAAGUCUACAUUAAUUAAGGACAUAUAAGAAUCAACCUGCAUCUCUGAAGCGCCACCGUAUAUUCAUACUUGCAUAUAUAAUGCUUCACUUUGAGACUAUUAUUCAUAUCGUAUGAUGCAUGACUGCCCAAUAGAUCAGUGGUAACUGCCCGACCGGCCAUAGCGCAGUGGUAAAUACAUGAUUUCCCGACCGACCGUAACUCGGUGGUAAAUGUGUAACUACCCAACCGGCCGUAGCUCGGUUGUAAAUGCAUGACUGCCCGACCGGUGGUAAAUAAUAAUACAUAACUGCCCAACCGGUGAUAACUGCCCGUCCGGUCGUAGCGCGGUGGCAAAUGAAUGAACUUGCAUGUACAUCUAUCCCUAUAUUAUAAACAUUAAUAUUUAUAUCAUAUACCUCAAUAGGGAACUAGAUACCUACUUAGACAUGCUUGAAUAUCACUUUACGAGAAUGAAUAACAUAGACAUCCUUAACUGCUAAGAGUAGAACCACUUAUGAAAUAGCAUUACGUUUACGUUUCUUUACUUGGAUCAUGCCAAAAGAAAAAAGGGAUAGCCUUAACAUACCAGGGAUGACUCUCUUAACAAUCCCUCUAAUACAUAUUAAUUGCGAUAAUAAACAUCCAUUAAUGUGUUGAAAGUGACUAUAUCUGGCUGACAACCUUCCAUACUCAUAAGCCCAAACAUUCCCAUGAAUCAAAAUCCCAAGUUUUUCAUACCCAUUUGACAUAAGAGGAACAAUAAUUAAUGAUCACACAAGAGAAGGAAGGAGAGGCACUGUUUCAGAUUAUAUAUGCCUGGCUUAUAGUAUGUUUUAUAAACUUCAAAUUCGGAUUUACCAAACUGUUAGUACAUAAUCAAUAUUUUCCUUUACCAAUAAAUGAAUUGAUGUCAAUAUGAUAUGUACAAAUUAUUAAGCUCACAAGUAAGAUUCACAAGUUUUAACAUAUGAACAUCAGUCAUUGAAAAAGAUAGUCGAAGUAUUACUUAGAUUCUUCAACUCACUUCUCACCAAUAUUAUUUACUGAGAAUACAAACACAAUUCAAGUAGCCUAGAUACCUUAAACUUUAAGUGACUAUAAAAUAUUGAUCGUCAACAUGAAUGCAGAAAUGGUUCAACAGUAGAUACUAUUAAUUUAGGUUAUUCAAACUUUUAUUUGACAUCCUACUAGCCAUUUCACCUUAUCACAUUUUAAAGCACUAUUGUAAACACUUCCGUCAACCUCUAAAAAUUAUUUUGUCAAAAAUAAGCUUGAUAUAAUAAUCUAUAUAGAUAUACUACUCUUAAUUGGAAUUGAGGUAGCAAUUUCUAAAGGCAGACGACAAAAAACUAGAUGUGACAACUUUAUUUUACAAGUGAACUAGACAAGACAAAUGAUCCUUACCCCUCUUCGUGUACUUCCCUUGUCACUCCAAAAAUCCAAAUAAGCAUAAUCUUAAAGUAGAUAUGGAAGAAUAUAUAGAAGAACAUGGGAACUUUUGUCAAACCUUGUCAAGGAAUUGUAAAUGAUAUAUACUGACGUUUGCUCAACAUCAACCCCCCUAAAUAUGCCACCUCAUUGAGUGAACUUAGGAGUCAC
rnacentral:lncRNA from 1 species